GCCCAUGAGACAUGGCAUUGGGCCAAGGCCCAAGAUUAGACCAAGCUGACUUGGAUGGGAAACAGGGAAGGGCCACUAGCAGAGAUCUCAAGGUAAGAGGGUGGUGUGGUGAUGGUCGAACUAAAGAGCAAGGAUCCUCUGUGGUGCAUGCAUGGCAUUACUACUACUAUGCACGAGGGGUGGCAAUUGAUCUAAUAUGAAUGGGGUUGAUCGAUACCCAUACUCAUUUCGUCAGUAAAAAAUCCAUAUCCAUAUCCAUCUCAGAUCGGAUCAGGCUCCAAGAACGGAUCGAAUCAGGCUCC
rnacentral:lncRNA from 1 species